ACGAAAUCAGCAAGGGGGGAAGCCAUAGUUAGGGUUUUCAAGCUUCCAAGCUCCAUAAUCAAGAAGUACGAAACUCGAGGUUAGACAAAGGGAAGAAUAAAGUUGAAGACUAAGUUGGUGAAUUUGGCUAUAAUUGGUACCGAGGUAAGUUUACGGUAAAUAAAUGCAAUAUUUCAAUAUUUAUUAUUAAUGCUGUUAAUUUCCAGCAAUUAUGAAUUUAUUUUAUGAAUUUAUUUGAUGAUGAUCCAAGCAUGAAAUGAUAGAGAAUUAAAAUUUAAAAGUCCCGUUGAUACAUAAGGAUGGUACUAGAUACGAAUGUCAUGACAUUUGGGUAAAGAGAUCCCAUGUAAGACCAUGUCUGGGACAUGGCAUUGGCAUCCUUAAGAUCAUGAGAGGUCCCCUGUAAGACCAUGUCUGGGACAUGGCAUGGGCACCGAGAUGAGAGGUCCCAUGUAAGACCAUGUCUGGGACAUGGCGUUGGCACCGAGAUCAGAGGUCCCCUAUAAGACCAUGUCUGGGACAUGGCAUGGGCACCGAGAUGAGAACAUCCCAUGUAAGACCAUGUCUGGGACAUGGCUUUGCAUGUUAUUAUCAGAAGAGACCCCAGUAUCCUUAUUGUUCCAAUGUAGCUCAACGGGAUAAUAAGCGAAUCAUAUUCAUGAAAGUUCAGUUUAAAGCAUAAAUGGCAAGCUCAGGAAAGUUAUAAGAGUUACGAACUUAUUAUACUAUCAAUUGAUGUUCAACGAUGCAGCAAGGAUUGAGUAAGUUAUGCACACAAGUAUUCUAAGUAAACAAGUAAGAGAACUAGUAUGAGAUUAACUAAAGAGUAAACUAGAGAUAUAGACAUUGAGUUUAAUUAUUUAAGUUAAAUAUUGUUAUUUAUUUGCUAGUAAACUUACUAAGCUUUAUGCUUACGUCUUUUAUUUCUCUUUCUCUUAUAGUAUUACAAGGCUACUUCAAGGAUCCUAAAGAAGUCGGAGAUCGUCCACACUAUCAACCACAACUGCUCGGUAUUUUAUGUCGAAACACGUUUGAGUUAUGACAUGUAUAGGG
rnacentral:lncRNA from 1 species